rnacentral:rRNA from 1 species
AUUGAACGCUGGCGGCAUGCCUUACACAUGCAAGUCGAACGGUAACAGGUCUUCGGAUGCUGACGAGUGGCGAACGGGUGAGUAAUGCAUCGGAACGUGCCCAGUAGUGGGGGAUAGCCCGGCGAAAGCCGGAUUAAUACCGCAUACGACCUGAGGGUGAAAGGGGGGGAUCGCAAGACCUCUCGCUAUUGGAGCGGCCGAUGUCAGAUUAGCUAGUUGGUGGGGUAAAGGCCUACCAAGGCAACGAUCUGUAGUUGGUCUGAGAGGACGACCAGCCACAUUGGGUCUGAGGAACUGCCCAGACUCAUACGGGAGGCAGCAGUGGGUAAUGUUGGACAAGGGGCGCAAGCCUGAUCCAGCAAUGCCGCGUGCAGGAAGAAGGCCUUCGGGUUGUAAACUGCUUUUGUCAGGGAAGAAAAGGACUGCCCUAAUACGGUGGUCCCAUGACGGUACCGUAAGAAUAAGCACCGGCUAACUACGUGCCAGCCGCCGCCGUAAGAC